rnacentral:rRNA from 1 species
GUGCAGCAGGCGCGAAAACUUUACAAUGUGCGAAAGCACGAUAAGGGAACUCUGAGUGCCUCCUAAGGAGGCUGUUCAGGUGUCUAAAAAGCACCUGGAGUAAGGGCUGGGUAAGACCGGUGCCAGCCGCCGCGGUAACACCGGCAGCCCAGGUGGUAGCCACUUUUAUUGGGUCUAAGGCGUCCGUAGCCGGUUGAGUAAGUUCCUUGGGAAAUUUGGCUGCUCAACAGUCAAGCUUCCAGGGAAUACUGCUCGACUUGGGACUGGGAGAGGUCAGAGGUACUCCAGGGGUAGGGUGAAAUCCAUUAAUCCCUGGGGGACCACCGGUAGCGAAGGCGUCUGACCAGACCAGGUCCGACGGUGAGGGACGAAGGCUAGGGUCGCGAACCGGAUUAG